GAGACAGCAGCAGCCGCGGGAAUACGGAGGGUGCAAGCGUUAAUCGGAAUUACUGGGCGUAAAGCGCACGCAGGCGGUCUGACAAGUCAGAUGUGAAAUCCCCGGGCUUAACCUGGGAACUGCAUUUGAAACUGUCAGGCUGGAGUCUUGUAGAGGGGGGUGGAAUUCCAGGUGUAGCGGUGAAAUGCGUAGAGAUCUGGAGGAAUACCGGUGGCGAAGGCGGCCCCCUGGACAAAGACUGACGCUCAGGUGCGAAAGCGUGGGGAGCAAACAGGAUUAGAUACCCGAGUAGUCCCUGUCUCUUAUAC
rnacentral:rRNA from 1 species